CAAGGUUUAAAAAUACAUUUUUAUGUUAAGCUUUGAAGGCUUAUAGUUUAUUUUAACUUAAAACCCU
rnacentral:tRNA from 1 species